GUCUGGUGCCNGCAGCCGCGGUAAUACCAGNCUCCANUAGCGUAUAUUAUUGAUGUUGCAGUUGAAACGUUCGUAGUCGGACUUUGUCUGCUCAAGCAUUGCGCCACCGAAGGUGGUGCAGUGCUAUCAGCGGAGACUGUGCGGAGGGUAUGUGUGUUGCAUGUAUCUAACGCAUUUUACUUUGAGUGAAUCGGCGUGUUCCACGCAGGCAUGUGCCUUGAACGAUUUACCAUAGCAUAUUCAGAGUAUGGAGGUGAUUCCUUGUUAGUUUGGAAGCAUUUUUGAUACUGAAAAGAACGGUUGAGGGCAUUCGUAUUCAACUGCUAGAGGUGAAAUUCUUUGAUUAGUUGAGGACGAACCAUUGCGAAAGCAUCUGCCAAGGACGUUUCUCUUGAUCAAGAACGAAAGUUAGGUGAUCGAAGAUGAUUAGAUACCGUUGUAGUCCUAACUAUAAACUUUACUAUCCAAGAAUUGGAUUGGUGACUUUUACGCCUUUCCGGUGCUUUCUGAGAAAUCACAAGUCUUUGAGUUCUGGGGGGAGUAUAGUUGCAAGGCCGAAACUUAAAGGAAUUGACGG
rnacentral:rRNA from 1 species